GGACAUGACGUGUGGCUGUCGUAAAAACCCUAUUUGUAAACAACCAGUCCUUUUAACUCGGGGCUGCGUCAUAAACACGGAGCGCUUGGAAGACCACGAUGUCAUCUUCCUUCUGUCAGGAGGAUCAAAGUGAAGCUACAGGAGUUUCAUUAACGUCAAUAACUUGGACCGAACACUUUGUUUUGCUUGAUGAAGAGCAGGAAGGGCAGCCUGGAGAGAAAGAGAAGCCGGGUUGAGCCCACUACCAUCAUCCACGUACCACGAGGAAGAUGAGGGAGAGAAAUGAUCCUACCAUUAAAGAGACUGUGAAAAGAACGUUGAGAACAUCACCACUCUACAGGAAGACACAGUCCAGUAAUGGGUGUCAGAAUUUCAGUAGUGAACGACAGGUACUGUGGGAAAAUGUGUGUCAUUGUUGUACAAUGUCCUUUGACUCUGUUUACACAAGGUUAACACAAAAAGGUUUGAUUGUAAACUGAUAUUGGUAUGAAUUCAUGUUAUUCUCCUCUUCACAAGAAACAAACAAUCCAAAUUACCUGCAGAAAGCCCUUGAUGGACGCUUCAGCUGCAUCGUCAGACUGGUGAGACAGCAAGAUGCCAACUUUAAUGCCAAUUUAUUU